AUGUCUAUUAUCCACAUCUCUACUCAUACCUUUCAUUCACACCCUUCAUUUAAACAAAAACAUGUCCAAAAGACAAAAAACACAGAUAGCUUUGUUAACAGAAUAGACAAUUUCGAGAUGAUGACCUUUGGUGCACACAGUGAUUUUCAUACCAAAAAAAAAAAAAAAAAAAAAAAAAAAAAAAAAAAAAAAAACCUAACAGCCCAAACCAAAAGUCAAAAACCUCCAAGACAAAAAAAGCCCUCCAAACGUUAAGGCUAAAGCUCAAAAGCCCUCUCAGUAAGCCCAGGAUGGCCUUUAUAUUCCAGGAACUAAACGCCAAACACCAACUCAUGCCCAGCAGCUAAUUUCCCAGCAACUGCCAGCCCUCACUGUCAGCAAUUGACUCAUUUUAUAACCUUUUCCUACCUCACUUACUGUCUAUGGUUCUUCCUUCCUAUCUCUGAUUCCUACUUCCUGUCACUGUGGGCUGCUUAAUCCUUACACCUCUCUAUGGUAAAAGGUCCCCCAUUAAAUUAAAAAGGAAUAAAAAAUUCCUUUU
rnacentral:lncRNA from 1 species